GCUUGCUGGGUGGAUUAGUGGCGAACGGGUGAGUAACACGUGAGCAACCUGCCCCUGACUCUGGGAUAAGCGCUGGAAACGGUGUCUAAUACUGGAUAUGUCCCAUCACCGCAUGGUGUGUGGGUGGAAAGAUUUUUCGGUUGGGGAUGGGCUCGCGGCCUAUCAACUUGUUGGUGAGGUAAUGGCUCACCAAGGCGUCGACGGGUAGCCGGCCUGAGAGGGUGACCGGCCACACUGGGACUGAGACACGGCCCAGACUCCUACGGGAGGCAGCAGUGGGGAAUAUUGCACAAUGGGCGCAAGCCUGAUGCAGCAACGCCGCGUGAGGGAUGACGGCCUUCGGGUUGUAAACCUCUUUUAGCAGGGAAGAAGCGAGAGUGACGGUACCUGCAGAAAAAGCACCGGCUAACUACGUGCCAGCAGCCGCGGUAAUACGUAGGGUGCAAGCGUUAUCCGGAAUUAUUGGGCGUAAAGAGCUCGUAGGCGGUUUGUCGCGUCUGCUGUGAAAUUCCGAGGCUCAACCUCGGGCUUGCAGUGGGUACGGGCAGACUAGAGUGCGGUAGGGGAGAUUGGAAUUCCUGGUGUAGCGGUGGAAUGCGCAGAUAUCAAGAGGAACACCGAUGGCGAAGGCAGAUCUCUGGGCCGUAACUGACGCUGAGGAGCGAAAGGGUGGGGAGCAAACAGGCUUAGAUACCCUGGUAGUCCACCCCGUAAACGUUGGGAACUAGUUGUGGGGUCCUUUCCACGGAUUCCGUGACGCAGCUAACGCAUUAAGUUCCCCGCCUGGGGAGUACGGCCGCAAGGCUAA
rnacentral:rRNA from 1 species